GUCAGGGUUUCCACAGGCUCCUCAGUUAGUCAUCAGAAACUCUUGAAGCAGCUGGAUAACUGGUUCCCAAGAGGGAGACCAGCAGAAGGGGCCAUCCUGAAUGGAAGAGAGAGAGAAAGAGAGAGAGAGAGAAGAGAGAGAAGGCAACAGCUGUGGCUGGAGGGGAAAGUUGGGACAGAGAGAGAGGCCAAAUCAGCUCUCCACCUCAUUCAGCUGGUGGGGCUGAGGGAGGAUUUCAGCAUGGCUGGGAAUGCACUGCAGAAGCGCAUCAUGACUUUGGAAUUCCCAACCAGUCCAUCUGCCCACUGUCCUGAGGGUUGAAUUCACUGAACUCAAUAUUAAGUGCCCCCUGAUUUUGCCAACAGCAAAAGGCAAUUAAAAUCAGGAAGGUUUGCUAUUGGGUUUAAGCUCUUAGUACAGUGCUUUGCACACAGAAAGCGCUCAAUAAAUAUUGAAUGAAAUAUGAUUGAAUGAAAUUUUCAAUCCAAAAUAUGAGCGGAUGCUUGUGCAUAAGAGCUUUUUAUUUCUGGCUUCCAGCAGUAAGGGUGUUUUCAGACCAAUGUUGGAAGAUCAGGACCACAUAGCCAUGAGACUAUUCACACUUGACCAAGUUGAGGUGCUUUCAUGGAGAAUGUCUUCUCUUGUCUUAUCCUGUCAAGUCGUCUCCAACCCAUAGCGACUCCAUGGACACAUCUCUCCCAGAAUGCCCCACUUCCAUCUGUAGUCGUUCUGGUAACGUAUCCAUCAUGGAGAACACCGUCUUAAAAAAAGAAACUUCCUUCACCUUCACUCCUGCGACAGGAUUCCUGAGCCACGGAUCAGAGGUGGGAGAAGCCAGUCACAUGACCCGCCCGGACUGGGGCUCAGCCUGUGGCCUGUGCAGCGAAAUUCCUGGAGAUUUGUGAUGGGCCCAGGACGCCUCCCCAGAAGCUCUCCGGGUGGCCAUGGGGUUGAAGACUCCCAAGUAAAAGUAUUUCAGAAUCAGAGGGUGUGGGGAUGAGGUGGUGUGGGGGAGGGUGAAGCCUCCUGGGACAGGGUCCAAUGUGCAAUUUGAGCCCUGGGGGCGAGCCUGGGGCAGGGCUCCAGGGCUGGGGUGGGC
rnacentral:lncRNA from 1 species